UUUAAUACUUUUAAUUUCUUAACAAAUGGUCUAAAUCCCACUUCAAUAAACGUCCGACCAACCCAUCACUCUUUAAUUUCCCUAAAAGCCUUUCUUUUCCUUCAUUUUCAUCCAAACAAACCAACAAACUUGAGUUUUUCGAGGAAGUUCUCGUUCAAAUUAAAUUUUUUGGUCUCUCGGAAGUCUAAUCGGGUGAAAGGAAAGUCCUCGACUCUCGUCGCUCCCGUCACUGCUCGGCGAAAAGGGACAAAUUCCUGCUUUACUGCUGCAACUUUGAGCCAUUUCUGUUGUACUUGUGAGCUAUUGUGGCUGCACAAACUUUAGAUGCUCUCACGUCGUUGCUGCACUUGAAAUUUUGAGCCAGUUGGGGCUGCAUAUUGAUGCGGUAUCACCAGAGGAGCAAAUACUACAUUAUUGAUUGAGCUAUUUCCUUUAAAGAACAGCUGAAUUGCUGCUACAAUUUGAGCUGAACCACUGCUAUAUUUCGGGCUGAAUUGCUGCCACAUUUUGCUGCUGCGUUUCGUGAAAAAAAAAAAAAAAAAAAAACGCUGCCUCAAACAGCUGCUGCACUUCAGAUAUUUUACUGAUUUGAACAGGUGCUAAGGCUGAUGAGAAACGAAUUUGAGGCCACGGCCAAGGUUGUCCCUCGGCUAGGCACUUCGAUUAAAGGCGAGGAUGAACUUAUAAUAAAAUCACAAGGUAGAAAUCAACAUGGGUUUGGCAAGGCAACUAGAAUGGCUGACAAGCCACUAGUUUGCAACCGCGACAUGAAUGAAAUUUCUUUUGCCAAACUAAAAAAUAUAAGUAUGAGCUAAAAAACAUAAGUAUGAGCUUUCGUAAUCAAAACUCUCAAGGAUUCCGAUAUGAGUCUGAAGAAAAAACAAUUGUUUAUAUUUAUAGAUGUCAACCAUAGGGUGGCACAUAAUUUGACUAGCGAAACAGUAGAGCAAAGCUUAUGAAGACAGAGUAAAAGAAUUGGAUAUUUGGAGUUUUGGGACUUUCGACGAAGAACCGAAAGAGCGAAGAGAAGAUCCACUCCUAUUUAAAUAGGAGUGGAAUUGCGGCAAAAUCGGUCCAUUAGUGAUCUGGGGCCAAAAGCCCAAGUCACUCUCUACCCUCCCCUUUUUAUUUAUUUAUCUUGUUUAUUUGUAUUAUCUGUGCAUUGAUGUAAAAACACGCUGAUAUGUUAUUGAAACCCG